UUUUUUGCUUUAUACAUGGUUUGUAUUGUAAUAUAAUCAACUAAUCCCUGAAUUUCAGAAUAUUCAAACAAAUAAAUAGUGGGUUUGUCGGCUCACGGUAAGGUUUAAUACUGAUAAUUCUUAUGGCUUUCUUUUGCAA